rnacentral:rRNA from 1 species
UCGGCAAUGGGGGAAACCCUGACCGAGCGACGCCGCGUGUGGGAUGAAGGCCCUCGGGUUGUAAACCACUGUCAACGGGGAGGAAAUGCAGAGGGGUUCUCCCCUCUGUUUGACCUAUCUGUGGAGGAAGUACGGGCUAAGUUCGUGCCAGCAGCCGCGGUAAGACGAACCGUACAAACGUUACUCGGAAUUACUGGGCUUAAAGGGUGCGUAGGCUGCGCGGAAAGUUGGGUGUGAAAGCCCUCAGCUCAACUGAGGAAUUGCACUCAAAACUACCGUGCUCGAGGGAGACAGAGGUAAGCGGAACUCAAGGUGGAGCGGUGAAAUGCGUUGAUAUCUUGAGGAACACCGGUGGCGAAGGCGGCUUACUGGGUCUCUUCUGACGCUGAGGCACGAAAGCCAAGGUAGCAAACGGGAUUAGAUACCCCGGUAGUCUUGGCUGUAAACGAUGAGCACUUGAUUGAAGGGUCCUCCAUAGCCUUUCAGUCGUAGCGAAAGUGUUAAGUGCUCCGCCUGGGGAGUAUGGUCGCAAGGCUGAAACUCAAAGA